rnacentral:rRNA from 1 species
UGGGGGAUAUUGCACAAUGGGCGAAAGCCUGAUGCAGCGACGCCGCGUGGGGGAUGAAGGCCUUCGGGUUGUAAACUUCUUUUGCUCUGAACAAGGCAUGCUAAUGGGUGUGUUGAGUGUAGGGGUUGAUUAGCGCCGGCUAACUACGUGCCAGCAGCCGCGGUAAUACGUAGGGCGCGAGCGUUGUCCGGAAUUAUUGGGGGUAAAGGGCUUGUAGGUGGCUGGUUGCGUCUGUCGUGAAAGCUCAUGGCUUAACUGUGGGUUUGCGGUGGGUACGGGCUGGCUGGAGUGCAGUAGGGGAGGCUGGAAUUCCUGGUGUAGCGGUGGAAUGCGCAGAUAUCAGGAGGAAUACCGGUGGCGAAGGCGGGUCUCUGGGCUGUUACUGACACUGAGGAGCGAAAGCAUGGGGAGCGAACAGG